GUAGGUGGCAAGCGUUGUCCGGAAUUAUUGGGGCGUAAAGCGCGCGCAGGCGGUUCUUUAAGUCUGAUGUGAAAGCCCACGGGCUCAACCGUGGAGGGUCAUUGGAAACUGGAGAACUUGAGUACAGAAGAGGAAAGCGGAAUUCCACGUGUAGCGGUGAAAUGCGUAGAGAUGUGGAGGAACACCAGUGGCGAAGGCGGCUUCCUGGUCUGUAACUGACGCUGAGGCGCGAAAGCGUGGGGAGCAAACAGGAUUAGAUACCCUGGUAGUCCACGCCGUAAACGAUGAGUGCUAAGUGUUAGGGGGUUUCCGCCCCUUAGUGCUGCAGCUAACGCAUUAAGCACUCCGCCUGGGGAGUACGGCCGCAAAGGCUG
rnacentral:rRNA from 1 species